UUCAACCUGCCCAACACGAUUACUGGUCCACCUAGAAAUGCCGUGGAGCGAUUUAAGAGCCUCGGAAAUUUCCUUUAAGACUAGUCUCACUCUGUUGCCCAGGCUGGAGUGCAGUGGCGCGAUCUCAGCUUACUUCAGCCUCCGCCUCCCGGUUUCAAGUGAAUUCUCCAGCCUCAACUUCACAAGUAGCUGGGAUUACAGGGCAUUCAAGCAGCCCUGAGGAGAGGUCCACAUGGUGAGCCACUGAGGGCCUUGCCAAGAGCCAGCACCAACGGUCCAGGUUUGGAGUGUACCACCUUGGAAGUGAAUCUUCCAGUCCAGUCAAGCCUUCAGAUGACUUCAGAACCGUCCAUGUAAGCCACUCUUGGAUUCCUGACCCACAGAAACUGUUGGAGCUGCCAAUUUGCAGGAAAUAGAGGAGAGAAGCAUCUGUUGAACUGCACCAUGAGUAUACACUCAGCAAAGGCCAAACUGUGGAAAAUGAUACAGGUCAAACAGCCUGGAUUCUUUAACAGUAAGUGAUGUUUCUGAAGCACCAAUGAAAAUGAAGUCCUGAAGUCCUGUGCUCAAUAUGAAAUGUUGGAAGUUAGAAGAAAAAAACAAAACUUGGAUCCAAUCUCAAGGCACUUUUUGUUUAAUGGGAAGAAGUGGAUUAUUUUAAAAGCUACAAAUAAAGUUACA
rnacentral:lncRNA from 1 species